GACGAACGCUGGCGGCGUGCUUAACACAUGCAAGUCGAGCGGUAAGGCCCUUUCGGGGGUACGACGAGCGGCGAACGGGUGAGUAACACGUGGGUGACCUGCCCUCAGCUCUGGGAUAAGCCUGGGAAACCGGGUCUAAUACCGGAUAUGACUCCAUGACGCAUGUUGUGGGGUGGAAAGCCUUGUGCGGCUGAGGAUGGGCCCGCGGCCUAUCAGCUUGUUGGUGGGGUGAUGGCCUACCAAGGCGACGACGGGUAGCCGGCCUGAGAGGGCGACCGGCCACACUGGGACUGAGACACGGCCCAGACUCCUACGGGAGGCAGCAGUGGGGAAUCUUGCGCAAUGGGCGAAAGCCUGACGCAGCAACGCCGCGUGAGGGAAGAAGGC
rnacentral:rRNA from 1 species